AGAAAAUUAUUUCUUAGAGAGUUUUCUUGCGAGAGAAGUAGUGAGCCAAUUUGUGAGAGUGUUUCUUACAAAUUGAGAGAUAUAUUGUAGAGAAUUUCACCUAAGGGUGAAGUUGUUGUAUUUCCAUUAUCAUUAUAGUGGAAGUUUUAAGGGGUCUAAUGGUCCCGUGAUUUUUCCUUUCUCACAUUGAGAAGGUUUUCCACACUAAAAUUCUUGUGUUAUUUCGCUUAUAUUUUUCACGUUUCCGCUAGUGCCUAAUUGUUGAGUUCACGGAGGAGGGAAAUUAUGGAGGUUAUUUCCCAACAGUGGUAUCAGAGCUCUGUGUGAGCUCUGGGUAGGGGUGGACAGAAAGUAAUCAACCGAUCCUAUCCGCCCGAUCCAUGCAAACCGAAUGCAUUCGGUCGGGUUAAGUUCGGGUUCGCGGGUCCAACGGGUGAUUCACUCGGUUCACAAUGGUUAGUAUCGGUUCGGUUCGGUUGAGAAAAUUCAAUCCAACGGAAACCGAACCCGACCGCAAUAGGCUUGUACUGGGCUGGACUUAGUAGUUUUUGAAGCCCAGGAAAUAUGCCAUUAGGUUACUCUAACACAUAUAAGAGAUAGUAAAUGAAACCCUAGCCGCUUCAACUUUAUUUUUCUGUGUUUUCUUUCCUCAUCUAAAAUUAGCCGCUUCAACUUUUUCUUCUUCUGUGUUUUCUCUCCUCAUCCAAAAUCCAGCAAAGGAAAAUCAAAGAUGUGAUUCGUCACAACAUGAUGAAGAACAUGAAACGAAUCUUAAUAAAGGUAGGGUUCAAGAUGAAGAGGUUGUUAGUGAGAAAUUUGUGUUAAAGAUGAUUAUCAUUUCGAAAAUACCCAUUAAUCAAGGGUUGAGUUCUUAUGUAGAUCUGAGAUCUGGACUCUUAAAGGUAGAUCUUGGCUCUCAAAGGUUAGUUAUAACUUAUAAGUAUGUCUAACCUCUUGUAUUUUCUUUAUGUCAUGUAAUUUUUUUUAUUGUUUUUCUUUUAAUUUCACUCAAAGGUAGAAAGUAAGUUGUGUUAUGCUAGGUUAUUUUCAAUUCUCUUUGAUAAGUUCUGUUCUGUAAGUUUGUUUUAAUUUCUCUUUGAUAAGUUUUAUACAGGUAGGAGUUAUUGUUGUAUUGCAGCAACCUUGAUUUAUUCUUGUUAAUACACAGGUGUUAAAGGACAAUGUGAAGAAAUUAUUCCAGAUUUAA